rnacentral:rRNA from 1 species
GAUGAACGCUGGCGGCGUGCCUAAUACAUGUAAGUCGAGCGAACGGACGAGAAGCUUUCUUCUCUGAUGUUAACGGCGGACGGGUGAGUAACACGUGUAUAACCUACCUAUAAGACUGGGAUAACUUCUGGAAACCGGGGCUAAUACCGAAUAAUAUUUUGAACCUCAUGGUUCAAAAGUGAAAGACGGUCUUGCUGUCGCUUAUAGAUGGAUCCGCGCUGCAUUAGCUAGUUGGUAAGGUAACGGCUUACCAAGGCAACGAUGCAUAGCCGACCUGAGAGGGUGAUCGGCCACACUGGAACGGAGAAACGGUCGAGACUGCUACGGGAGGAACAAGUAGGGAAUCUUCAGCACUGGGGGAAAGAAUGACGGAGUAACGCCGCGUGAGUGAUGAAGGUCUUCGGCUCGGAAAACUCUGUUAUUAGGGAAGAACAUAUGUGUAAGUAACUGUGCACAUCUUGACGGUACCUAAUCAGAAAGCAACGGCUAACUACGUG